CUGUGUUUUAUCAAAAAGCGCCUGCUAAUUCAUCCUCUGUUGUGCUAAUGAGGUGAAUCAUGCGACACUCGAAGGUUACUAAUCGCUUUUUCGAGUCUCACUUAAUUCACAAAGGAAACUGUCACAUUACAUCUGUUGUCAAUUAAAUAGCCGCUCUCAACUUUGAUCGUGAACUCGGUGUAAGCGGAGACGGUUCUUCCACGCAGAUAUGACGUGAAUUAUUGACGAAGCGUUUCAUCGUGCUGUAAUGAGAAUCUUCUGAGGCGCCGCCAACUGCUUUUUCCAAUGGAAUCUCCCUGUCAGCCAAUCAGAUGCUUCCAUUCAGCCGCCGUUUCCACUCUCGGGUUGCUCAUUGGGCAAGACAGCUGUCAAUCAUCUUAUCAGGUGGAAAAUCAGGUGGAUAAUCAUGACACUAAUUGAGUGAUGGCUUGCUUUGGUUUCACCACUAAACAUUGUGGAUCAAGCUCAAGGGGGUCUCUGUCAUGGAAAUCCACCCCGCUGCCAGCGGGACCCCACUGAAACUUUCAUAAGCGUUCAGUUCCAGGUUGCCCUUCUUGGCAGGCGGUACGCCUCUCUUCACGGGAUAUCCCAUCCGCACCGGCAGAGGAACG